AUUGAACGCUGGCGGCAGGCUUAACACAUGCAAGUCGAACGAGUGGCGGACGGGUGAGUAAUGUUUGGGAAUCUGCCUUAUGGAGGGGGAUAACGACUGGAAACUGUCGCUAAUCCCGCGUACCAUCGGCUGAGCCCAAAUGGGAUUAGGUAGUUGGUGGGGUAAUGGCCUACCAAGGCGACGAUCUCUAGCUGGUCUGAGAGGAUGACCAGCCACACCGGGACUGAGACACGGCCCGGACUCCUACGGGAGGCAGCAGUGGGGAAUAUUGCACAAUGGGGGCAACCCUGACGCAGCCAUGCCGCGUGAAUGAAGAAGGCCUUCGGGUUGUAAAGUUCUUUCGGUGAGGAGGCGUUAAUCACAGAAGAAGCACCGGCUAACUCCGUGCCAGCAGCCGCGGUAAUUC
rnacentral:rRNA from 1 species